ACCUUACUGGUGUAUCAGCUAACAUGGCGGAUUCUCAAAUCUAAACGAUGAAGUUUCCGCAGCGCAGGGUUCGACUCCCUGGUAGGGUG